rnacentral:rRNA from 1 species
GACGAACGCUGGCGGCGUGCUUAACACAUGCAAGUCGAACGCUGAAGCUCAGCUUUUGUUGGGUGGAUGAGUGGCGAACGGGUGAGUAACACGUGAGUAACCUGCCUCCUUCUUUGGGAUAACGCCCGGAAACGGGUGCUAAUACUGGAUAUUCACUGGUCCUCGCAUGGGGGUUGGUGGAAAGGGUUUUUCUGGUGGGGGAUGGGCUCGCGGCCUAUCAGCUUGUUGGUGGGGUGAUGGCCUACCAAGGCUUUGACGGGUAGCCGGCCUGAGAGGGUGACCGGUCACAUUGGGACUGAGAUACGGCCCAGACUCCUACGGGAGGCAGCAGUGGGGAAUAUUGCACAAUGGGCGCAAGCCUGAUGCAGCGACGCCGCGUGAGGGAUGGAGGCCUUCGGGUUGUGAACCUCUUUCGCUCAUGGUCAAGCCGCAACAAUGGUUGUGGUGAGGGUAGUGGGUAAAGAAGCGCCGGCUAACUACGUG